GAUGAACGCUGACAGAAUGCUUAACACAUGCAAGUCUUUGGCGAAGCUGUGCUUGCACCGCCUAGCCAAGGCGGACGGGUGAGUAACGCGUAAGGAACUUGCCCUGCAGUCAGGGAUAACAGACGGAAACGACUGAUAAGACCUGGUAAAGUCAGGCGGACUCAUGUCCAGCCUGAUGAAAAGAGAUGCUGCAGGAGAGCCUUGCGUCCUAUUAGCUUGUUGGUGGGGUAACGGCCCGCCAAGGCGAUGAUAGGUAGCCGGCCUGAGAGGGUGGACGGCCACAAGGGGACUGAGAUACGGCCCUUACUCCUACGGGAGGCAGCAGUGGGGAAUAUUGGACAAUGGGGGCAACCCUGAUCCAGCAAUUCUGUGUGCACGAUGAAGGUUUUCGGAUUGUAAAGUGCUUUCAGCAGGGAAGAAAAAAUGACGGUACCUGCAGAAGAAGCGACGGCUAAAUACGUG
rnacentral:rRNA from 1 species